UUUAAUUGCCUAGUAUUGGGACCUGGAGGCUGGGGUUAUAAAAGGAUUGCGGGAGGGGGACGCUGUCUCUUUGCAGCCGGGGAGGAGAUGUGAUUAGUGUUUGGGAUUAGGCUGGGUAAGGUAAUGAGUGAGGGGGGUAAGAGGCGCCGGCGUCUGGGCGGUGGGAAACCCCUCGAUAUUGUUGCAGCUCAAGUUGCAACAAUGUUGCAGAGUUCUAUUUUAGAAUGUGGGCCUUAAAGGGACCGCGCUCCAUUGUCAGGGUAUCUCCGAAUGGAGCAUGUUGGGUUUUUUGAGGAUGGCAGGAGGGGGAAGAGGGCUGUAAAUGAUAAACAUAUUGGAUAUGUCGAUUUCUGGGGAAUUGAUUUAAUCCCCUCUGAAGGAGAGUGAUGUGGUUGAACACGUGUCAGGUUUGGGUUAAUGUGCUUUAGUAGGCUCCAAGAAUUAUAAGCAGCCAUGCGGAUGUAAUUUGAGGCCAGGUUUGCAGCAAAGCGCCGAACCUUCCGAAAGGCCGUUUUCUUCGUGGGGGUAUGUCUUCAACCUGAGCAUCCGGACAGGUGGACUGAGGGAAGUGGAAUGAUUUCAUCCAAUGUAUGCUUUUGGAGUGGGAAAAGGGGUUUAAUUUUGCCAUUUCUAGGCAGAAUUUUCUGUCCUAAUAUCUGCAUUGGUUAUUGCAAAACUGACGAAGGUGCUUACCGGGCUGCUGAACAAUGCUGUCCUUAUGGUUUGGGAAUGAUUCUCUUUACAAAUUGGGAUGAGCGGAGUUAAUCCAUGUCACUUGUAAUUGACCUGGUUCAUAUUCACCUUGUGUAAAUUGUAGGUGUCAGCUGCCCUACACAAUCUGGAUUUUUUGCUGUGAUUUAUCAUAAAAGUACUGUCUCAAUAAAAAAAGUUCAUUUUAA